rnacentral:misc_RNA from 1 species
UACGUAGGUGGCAAGCGUUAUCCGGAAUUAUUGGGCGUAAGGCGCGCGCAGGCGGGCGUGCAAGUCAGUCGUGAAAGCUCCCGGCUAAACUGGGAGAGGUCGGCUGAGACUGCAUGUCUUGAGGGUGGUAGAGGCGUGUGGAAUUCCGCGUGUAGUGGUGAAAUGCGUAGAUAUGCGGAGGAACACCAGUGGCGAAGGCGGCACGCUGGGCCACACCUGACGCUGAGGCGCGAAAGCAUGGGGAGCGAACGGG